rnacentral:rRNA from 1 species
CCUACGGGGGGCAGCAGUGGGGAAUAUUGGACAAUGGGGGGAACCCUGAUCCAGCGACGCCGCGUGAGUGAAGAAGUAUUUCGGUAUGUAAAGCUCUAUCAGCAGGGAAGAAAGAAAUUACGGUCCCUGACUAAGCAGCCCCGGCUAACUACGUGCCAGCAGCUGCGGUAAUACGGAGGGCGCAAGCGUUAUCCUGAUUUACUGGGUGUAAAGGGAUCGUAGACGGGAGCACAAGACUGGAGUGAAAUUCCGGGGCUUAACCCCGGUACUGCUGUGGAAACUGGGGGGCUGGAGUGCAGGAGGAGUAAGCGGAAUUCCUGGUGUAGCGGUGAAAUGCGUAGAUAUUAGGAAGAACACCGAUGGCGAAGGCAGCUUACUGGACUGUAACUGACGUUGAGGCUCGAAAGCGUGGGGAUCAAACAGGAUUAGAUACCCCGGUAGUC